UACGGGGGGAGCAAGCGUUGUUCGGAUUUACUGGGCGUAAAGGGCGCGUAGGCGGCACUGCAAGUCAGUUGUGAAAUCUCCGGGCUUAACCCGGAAAGGUCAACUGAUACUGCAGGGCUAGAGUGCAGAAGGGGCAACUGGAAUUCUCGGUGUAGCGGUGAAAUGCGUAGAUAUCGAGAGGAACACCUGCGGCGAAGGCGGGUUGCUGGGCUGACACUGAGGCGCGAAAGCGUGGGGAGCAAACAGG
rnacentral:rRNA from 1 species